rnacentral:lncRNA from 1 species
GCUUGGAAUAGAUCAUAGAAUGAAAUAAAGUAAUGCUCAAGUCAAUAUAACAAGCUUGGUUCUGUUAUAGGUGUAACCCCACUAAUUCGGGACCGGCCAGAAAGCACAUACCAGAAAGUAGUACAUAUUUAACACAAAAUAGUCCCUACGGAUGAGUGUAACUUUCAAAAUAUGAAGAAUAUUUAGGUAUUUUUGGCAUCAAAUGAAAGCUGAAGGACUGGUGAUCAUUGUAGAACACUUUUGGACUUAAAAUUUUGAAUAUUAAAAAAACUGCACUAAAUUUUAAAAAGAGGGUACAUUUAGUCUGUUUGUCAGAUCUGAAGUACCCGUUUUGGUACAUCCGAAGUUCCGGGAACCAGUUCUUUCUUAUAUGCAUUAAAGGUAUGUUGAUUUUUUUCAGUACAAGACACCAUAAAGUGUUGCUUUGACAUGCAAUGAUUGCCACUUUAUUUGAACUUAAAAUGAAAGAGGUGUGCUUGCUUGAAAUGGAGGAAUUUAACAUAGAAAGCAAUGGGACCAUGAAUUAGUGUUGUACUUCCUUAAGUAUGACGUCCAUUAUCACUGAACUAGUAUGCAUAUGUGUUUAGGGGCUAUCUGAAGGACGCCUCCGGGUGCGGGAGUUUCUCGUUACAGUGAAGACCCAUUGGUGGCCUUCGGCUGUUGUCUGCUCUAUGGUCGAUUGUUGUCGCUUUGACACAUUCCCCAUUUCCAUUCUUAAUUUUAUACUAAUAUGUAUUUACUUAUAAAAUAGUACACCAGUAGUUGAUCUAGAGCUUCACAUGAAGAAGUUGUUUGUGAUUUCAGGUAACGUUUUUU